GAAAUAUUCGAACCGAACCUAUGUUCGAAUACUUUCAAAGCACGAAGCUUUGCGUUAUUGGUUCGUAUACACAAGCUUCGCAUCACAAUCGCUUACCAUCGUAAUUGCGGACAUUUGGGCGAUACUUUUGCAUGCUCUUCGGCGAGGACAAAUGAAGCUUCUUGUUCAUUUCAUUGAUGUUCGGAAAGAUAUGUAAAAGCUUUUGCGUAGUUUUCGACGAACACGAGCUAAGCUCUUGGUUCGUGUGAUCGAUAUUUUUGAAACAUUUACAUGGAGCUUCGAAACGAUAUUCGCGAACACAGAAAAUAAGAUUACCUCGAAGUAUUUCAGAAUCACGAACAUCGAAAGAUUAUAUCAAUUUAGCAUCGCGAGGGCCAUCGUUAACAUGUUCGCCGGACGAUAUUAGUUUUCUUUAUUCAAAUACCUACCUACUAGCUAUGCAAAAAAAGUAUAUUCUAGACAGAGGCCUUGUAUUAAGAAUGGAAUAGGUGAAAAAUAAUUGUGACAAUGUGUAGCUUAUGAAUGCUGGGGUUAACUGAAAAGUGACGUAACAAGUUUAUUUAAGAUACCCUACUGAUAUAUUACCAGUAGGGAUAAAAUCAAGAUUUCGCUACAGGGCGGGGAUAAAUUUUCAAAUGAAAUAAAUUAGGGCUAGAAAAUGAAGUUAAAUGCAAUGUACACAACGUAUUGAGUGGCUCGCUUAUCUUAGUCAUGUUCCUAUAGUCACCUACCAGUUACGUCAGUUUCUUGAGGAUAAAGAUAUCGAUAUCCAUUCAAAGGAAAAAAUCGAUUAUCAGUUAAAUAAAUAACGUCAUGAUGUGUAUGAUUAAUCCUAGAAAUAAAUAGGGAAUGUCAAUAAACUUUAUUAUUCCAUAUCAACAUUUGAAUAGGGCUAAUAAGAUUUGUGAACAAACUUUUGUUUUGCUGAUUUCUCUUAUGUGGUUUUUGUUUGAGGCGAAACUGAGUCAGUUCCUAACCCCAACUGCUGUCAAAAUGUAUGAACUGACAGCGGUUGGGGUUAGAACCUGACUCAGUUUCAGGUUCAAGCGAAAUCGCCAUUAAUUUGUUAUCAUUUCAACACAGAAAACAUUUGAAAUCGAUUCUACCAAGGGCAAAGAUGUUGAUUCAUGUGUAUUUUUCAUAAAAUUCAACUCUGUAGCGGAAAAAUGAGCGAAAUAAGUUUGUUUACAAAAGUCUCAUUAGCCCUUUUGAAGAAUUACUAUUGUAUUGAUCUAAAAUAUGGGUCUUCAAUAUAAUAUAUCAAAAUAUGGAAUGCGGCAAAAAGCGAAUAAUAAUGGAAAGACAGUAUUCGAAAAAGUUCGAGUUUAGAACGACUUUCAUUCUACUUGGAGUUAUUUAUUUCGCUUCUCAUUUUCCGAGAUUUCCCUUACAUAAAGCAUUUCGGCUAUAACUGAGUCAAAAAAAAUACAGGGGGCCCUAAGUAUUUCUUUCAUUUAUUUUUUAUUAGUAAAAGUCAAAUAAGGAAAGAUUACAUCAUAGAGAAGAUAAACCAAAUUUUGUCCUUUUCAGAAUUGUUUUUGGAUUUCCAACAAAAAAAAAAUCACUAGAACAUUGUAAGUUUUUUGCGUUUCUCCAUCAGUAAUUAGUUAACAAAUACAAUACAAACAAUUUGGAAUAUCCUUUUCAUUAUUUAUAACAAAACACAUGUACAGGAGUCAGGAAAUAAAUUUCAUAAAAGUGGAACAUGUAAUAAGUUUAACACUUCAUUUAUUAAGUGAACAGAUUCUGUCGAAAAUGUUUGAAAAUAAAUAUUUUGUCUCUUGUGAUUAGGUAAUCAACCAAUAAACUUAUAAAACAAUAUUAUAAAAAUCAUUUGGAAGCUUUCCUCUUGGUUUGGUACAGGUGCCUGGAAUGCAACAUUAUAAUUCAACUAAUGACAAUAAUAAUGGAUUCAAGUAUGUAGGUACUAGGUUAAUAAAUUCAUUUGGUAAAAUUAAAAAUAACGUUUAACACACAAA